GAUGAACGCUAGCUACAGGCUUAACACAUGCAAGUCGAGGGGCAGCGCAGUGUAGCAAUACAUGGGCGGCGACCGGCGCACGGGUGCGUAACGCGUAUCCAACCUUCCCGUUACUCAGGGAUAGCCUUCCGAAAGGGAGAUUAAUACCUGAUGGUGUUGAAAUUCCGCAUGUUAUUUCAACUAAAGAUUUAUCGGUAACGGAUGGGGAUGCGUGACAUUAGAUAGUAGGCGGGGUAACGGCCCACCUAGUCUACGAUGUCUAGGGGUUCUGAGAGGAAGGUCCCCCCACACUGGAACUGAGACACGGUCCAGACUCCUACGGGAGGCAGCAGUGAGGAAUAUUGGUCAAUGGUCGGAAGACUGAACCAGCCAAGUAGCGUGAAGGAUGAAGGUUCUAUGGAUUGUAAACUUCUUUAUACGGGAAUAAAACCUCCCACGUGUGGGAGCUUGUAUGUACCGUAUGAAUAAGCAUCGGCUAACUCCGUG
rnacentral:rRNA from 1 species